UACGUAGGCAGCGAGCGUUGUUCGGAGUUACUGGGCGUAAAGAGUGCGUAGGUGGUCCUCUAAGUUUGGUGUGAAAUCUCCCGGCUCAACUGGGAGGGUGCGCCGAAAACUGGGGGACUAGAGUGUGGGAGAGGAAAGCGGAAUUCCUGGUGUAGCGGUGAAAUGCGCAGAUAUCAGGAAGAACACCCGUGGCGAAGGCGGCUCUCUGGGACGGUACUGACGCUGAGACGCGAAAGCGUGGGGAGCGAACAGG
rnacentral:rRNA from 1 species